rnacentral:rRNA from 1 species
GAUGAACGCUGGCUACAGGCUUAACACAUGCAAGUCGAGGGGAAACGACGGGGAAGCUUGCUUCCCCGGGCGUCGACCGGCGCACGGGUGAGUAACGCGUAUCCAACCUGCCUCUGACUGAGGGAUAACCCGUCGAAAGUCGGCCUAAUACCUCAUGGCAUCGUCUGCGGGCAUCCAACGACGAUUAAAGAUUUCAUCGGUCAGGGAUGGGGAUGCGUCUGAUUAGCUUGUUGGCGGGGUAACGGCCCACCAAGGCUACGAUCAGGAGGGGUUCUGAGAGGAAGGUCCCCCACAUUGGAACUGAGACACGGUCCAAACUCCUACGGGAGGCAGCAGUGAGGAAUAGUGGUCAAUGGGCGGGAGCCUGAACCAGCCAAGUAGCGUGCAGGAUGACGGCCCUAUGGGUUGUAAACUGCUUUUAUGCGGGGAUAAAGUGAGGGACGUGUCCUUCAUUGCAGGUACCGCAUGAAUAAGGACCGGCUAAUUCCGU